rnacentral:lncRNA from 1 species
GGGGCGUAGGACUCCUGGAUCUGAAGGCGGAGGGGCUGGGAGACUGAACUCCUUGAGCCCAGACGAGGAGGGGCUUAGGCGUCCACAUCCCUGGCUUCGAAGGAGCCAGACGUUUGGAUAUAAUGGAAGAGCGUGUCAGGAGUGGCUUCCGUUCCUGUCUCCUUCAGCAUCCUGAUGGCGUACACUGUGGCUCUGGCUAACUCCUACGGACGCCUCAUCUCUGAGCUCAAACGUCAGAGAGAGACGGAGGCGCAGAAUAAAGUCUUCCUGGCACGGCGCGCUGUGGCGCUGACCUCCACCAAACCGGCUCUUUGACCCCCGCAGCCCACGUCCCACUUUCAGACCCCAGGCCCAUUGUAAGCCUAGGUCACAACAUCUGUAAACUAGGAGAACUGGAGAAGACUCCAAGCCCUUCCAGCUUUGCUAUCUGGAGAUUUCCAGGGCCCCUCGCCGCCACGUCCCUGACUCUCGGGUGAUCUUCCAUAUAUCAAUAAAUACAGCCGAGGUUGCUGAGCGCGCUUUGAAAUCUGCGUCCUGAAGGUGGGGGCAGGGCUACAGCAGGGCAGGAGCCAAUCAAAUGUAUGGGCAUGUUUGUCGAUGCAGAGCGCUCUUCCGC